GUGAACGCUGGCGGUAGGCCUAACACAUGCCAGUCGAACGGCAGCACAGUAAGAGCUUGCUCUUACGGGUGGCGAGUGGCGGACGGGUGAGGAAUACAUCGGAAUCUACUUUUUCGUGGGGGAUAACGUAGGGAAACUUACGCUAAUACCGCAUACGACCUACGGGUGAAAGCAGGGGAUCUUCGGACCUUGCGCGAUUGAAUGAGCCGAUGUCGGAUUAGCUAGUUGGCGGGGUAAAGGCCCACCAAGGCGACGAUCCGUAGCUGGUCUGAGAGGAUGAUCAGCCACACUGGAACUGAGACACGGUCCAGACUCCUACGGGAGGCAGCAGUGGGGAAUAUUGGACAAUGGGCGCAAGCCUGAUCCAGCCAUACCGCGUGGGUGAAGAAGGCCUUCGGGUUGUAAAGCCCUUUUGUUGGGAAAGAAACGCAGCAGGUUAAUACCCCGCUGUUCUGACGGUACCCAAAGAAUAAGCACCGGCUAACUUCGUG
rnacentral:rRNA from 1 species